rnacentral:rRNA from 1 species
AUUGAACGCUGGCGGCAGGCCUAACACAUGCAAGUCGAGCGAGCGGCGGACGGGUGAGUAAUGUAUGGGGACUGCCCGAUAGAGGGGGAUAACUACUGGAAACGGUGGCUAAUACCGCAUACUAUCGGAUAACCCAUAUGGGAUUAGCUAGUAGGUGGGGUAAGGGCGCCCCUAGUAGACGAUCUCUAGCUGGUCUGAGAGGAUGAUAAGGCACCCUGGGACGCAGACACGGCCCAGACUCCUACGGAGGCAGCAGUGGGGAAAAUGGCACAAUGGGCGCAAGCCUGAUGCAGCCAUGCCGCGUGUAUGAAGAAGGCCGUAGGGUUGUAAAGUACGUACAGCGGGUAGGCGUUACCCGCAGAAGAAGCACCGGCUAACUCCGUGCCAGCAGCCGCGGUAAUAC